rnacentral:rRNA from 1 species
GACGAACGCUGGCGGCGUGCUUAACACAUGCAAGUCGAACGGAAAGGCCCUGCUUUUGUGGGGUGCUCGAGUGGCGAACGGGUGAGUAACACGUGAGUAACCUGCCCUUGACUUUGGGAUAACUUCAGGAAACUGGUGCUAAUACCGGAUAGGAGCUCCUGCUGCAUGGUGGGGGUUGGAAAGUUUCGGCGGUUGGGGAUGGACUCGCGGCUUAUCAGCUUGUUGGUGGGGUAGUGGCUUACCAAGGCUUUGACGGGUAGCCGGCCUGAGAGGGUGAACGGCCACAUUGGGACUGAGAUACGGCCCAGACUCCUACGGGAGGCAGCAGUGGGGAAUCUUGCACAAUGGGCGGAAGCCUGAUGCAGCAACGCCGCGUGCGGGAUGACGGCCUUCGGGUUGUAAACCGCUUUCGCCUGUGACGAAGAGUGAGUGAAGGUAAUGGGUAAAGAAGCACCGGCUAACUACGUG